UACAGGGGGUGCAAACGUUGCUCGGAAUUAUUGGGCGUAAAGCGCGCGUAGGCGGUGACUCAAGUCGGAUGUGAAAGCCCUUGGCUUAACCGAGGAAGUGCAUCCGAAACUGAGUCGCUAGAGUACGAUAGAGGGUCGCGGAAUUCCCGGUGUAGAGGUGAAAUUCGUAGAUAUCGGGAGGAACACCGGUGGCGAAGGCGGCGACCUGGGUCGAUACUGACGCUGAGGCGCGAAAGCUAGGGGAGCAAACGGG
rnacentral:rRNA from 1 species